rnacentral:rRNA from 1 species
AUUGAACGCUGGCGGCAUGCCUUACACAUGCAAGUCGAACGGCAGCACGGGUGCUUGCACCUGGUGGCGAGUGGCGAACGGGUGAGUAAUACAUCGGAACAUGUCCUGUAGUGGGGGAUAGCCCGGCGAAAGCCGGAUUAAUACCGCAUACGAUCUACGGAUGAAAGCGGGGGACCUUCGGGCCUCGCGCUAUAGGGUUGGCCGAUGGCUGAUUAGCUAGUUGGUGGGGUAAAGGCCUACCAAGGCGACGAUCAGUAGAUGGUCUGAGAGGACGACCAGCCACACUGGGACUGAGACACGGCCCAGACUCCUACGGGAGGCAGCAGUGGGGAAUUUUGGACAAUGGGCGAAAGCCUGAUCCAGCAAGGCCGCGUGUGUGAAGAAGGCCUUCGGGUUGUAAAGCACUUUUGUCCGGAAAGAAAUCCUUGGCCCUAAUACGGUCGGGGGAUGACGGUACCGGAAGAAUAAGCACCGGCUAACUACGUG